GAUUAGGAGUGCACCUAUUUUGAUUCUGCGAACUGAGUAACUGAUUCUAAAGAUGGGUGUGAAGGAGAUGUAUCUUCAAUAUUACAAUAGUUACAACCAGUACCUACGAAGAAGAAGGGUGCUCAUUUGCACUACCAUUUGUGUGGUUUUUUGUGGUAUAAACUGUCUAGAUUACAUAAGAAGAGUAUCAAAUAUGGUCCUUUGUUACAACGAGAUUUGGAACGAGAGAGGCGGCUCAACCGGUUGUAUAAUGGGACAUAAGCCAAUUGUAUUAGUGAGUUGCACAUGCGCAAAUUUGUUUUCCAUAGGUUAUGUAGCCAUUUAAGGUCUCAUAGGCUGUUAGAGGAUACCGUCAAUGUCUCUGUUGAAGAACAGGUUGCUAUGUUCUUAAAGUUUGUUGGCCAUAGAUGGACAAAUAGGUCAGUUGGGUUUGAAUUCCUAUGGUCCGGAGAAACAGUUAGCAGGUACUUCAACCUUGUUUUAGAUGCUCUAUGUGUCAUGUCACGUGACCUCAUUACUAUGAGAACCACAUAGACACAUCCAAAGAUAUCUAGUAGCCCGGGAAGAUUUCACCCUUACUUUGAGAGAUGUGUAGGAGCACUCGAUGGCACACAUGUACCAGCAUGGGUCCCCAUUUAUAUGCAGGAUAGGUUUAGAGGUAGAAAACACUACCCAACACAGAAUGUGUUAGCUGCCGUGGAUUUUGAUCUUAGGUUUACAUAUGUGUUGGCUGGAUGGGAAGGAUCAGCUCAUGACUCAUUUGUGCUCCAAGAUGCAUUGUCACGUCCCUCAGGCUUAAAAAUUCCUGAAGGUAGUAGACAAGACACACGAGUUACCCCUUUUUUGGCUUGUAAAAUGACUAGCUAAUUUUAGUUAAAUCCAAUUGUAGGUCAUUUCUUUCUAGCAGAUGCGGGUUAUGCAGCACGACCUAGCAUAUUACCUCCAUUUAGGGGUGUUCGGUACCAUCUUAAGGAGUUUCAGGGUACUAGGCGGCCAGAGAAUCCAAAAGAAUUGUUCAACCUUCGACACUCUUCUCUUAGGACAACAAUAGAACGAGCAUUUGGUACACUCAAAAACAGAUUUAAGAUACUCACAAGCCAACCCUUCUUCCCUCUCAAAACUCAAGUGAAGAUAGUUUUGGCUUGUUGUGCUUUGCACAACUUCAUAAUAGAGGAUGGUACUGAUAUUUAUGUUUAUGAAGAUGAGGCAUGGUUUGGAAGUCUUCCAAGAAGCAGUCGUACCCAUGUUGAUAUGAAUAGAGAUAAUAAACUUUGGGCCACUAUGCGUGAUCAGCUAGCGCAGCAAAUGUGGGAUGAUUGGGAUGAAAAUUGAUCUUUUUAUGUGGCUGUAAUUAGAACCUAUUUUAUGGUUUUAUGUGGCUGUAAUGAGAACCUAUUUUAUGAUUUUAUGUGGCUGUAAUGAGAACCUAUUUUAUGGUAUUAUGUUGCUGUACUCAGAACCUAUUUAUGUUAUAUUCAUGGUAUUUUGUUUGUGCCUUUAUUGCUGAAAUUUAUAGAUGAGUAAAGGAAACGAGAAGAUUGAGAGGACCAUUGUGUGGGAUGAGGAUCAAAGCAAGUUUAUGCUUGGUUGGUUUACUGACUUCAUAAAAGAACAACAUGCUGGUUUUAAGAUUAAAAAACAACACCACUGCAAGUGUGCUGAGGCAUUGAACAGACAAUUCAAUAUGGGGGUCACUGCUACUCAAGUUGAAAGACAUUACAGGCAUUAUAAAGAGAAUUGGAAGUUUGUUGCUGCAGCCUUAAGCAAGAGUGGUAACACUUUUGACACAACAAGGUCUAUGGUAGUCAUAUCUGAAUCAGAGAAAUCUAAC